ACACGUACACACGGGCGCGCGGGCACCCGCGCACACACUCGCACGCACAGCCCCGAGUGAGUGUGAGCGAAGCUGAGAUGCGCUCUCACGCCUUAAGGAGUUCACACUUGGCCCCAGCCAAACCCGUGAGCGCGCGGCCGGCGCCCCGGAGGGCCGUGCUUUCAGUGGAACUUCCUUCCCAACUGCUGGAAAACUGGGGCUCUGCACCGAGAAAAACGCUGGGAUGUUGCACCCAAGAAGCAGCAGCAGGGAUUCUUCACACUGUUGUGUAUUCUGCCUAGUUCCCUGUUCUCUGUCUAGAGCGACAGGAUCUUUGAAAACCACAAGUAAUCCAAAAAAGCACUUGUCGCCUCCUCCUCCAACUAGAAUACUUAGAAGCACUAACAAAUAACUAAUCCGAGAUUUACCCCUUUUCCGGUCGUCGGUGUUCUCUCGGGAAAUUGUUUUUUGUGGGAGUGUUUUUUGGUUUUUGUUUGUUUGUUUCUUAACCCUUUUAAGUGGGUAGCCUGGCCUAAUUAAUCAACUGGAUCAUUGUUAGGAAUCAGGGAGAUUAACAUAACCAUAUUCAUACCCAAAACUGUUUCCAAGACAACAAUUAUAUUUGAGCCAGAACUUAAUUGUGUGUUGCUCUAUCUUUAUUUUACAGGAAGUAUUAGUCACCCAAACACUGGUGUGUUUUAAUAUUCUAAAGCCAAUGAAAACAUUUUUGGGAAACCAACCCUUUUUUUUUUUUUUUAAUUUAGGAGGGAAUUCAAUUUCCACAUUCAUGUCAAAGAAAGAAACUGUGAAGUGUGUAGAUUUUUUUUUUAAACUUGAAGUUGUUAUUGAGUUGUUCUAAAAUAUUUUCCAAAGCAGAUGAAAAUGCUACAAGGUGACUAAGAAUUCAGUACUGGCCAAGCAGUGGAAUCCAAGGUACACCUGGGCAGCUUGAGUUGCAUCACUAACAAAUGCCCUAGCACUCAUUAGUAUGACCCGAGAAUGAAGAAUUCUUUGUUUUGUUUUGGUUUUCUUGUUCCAGGGUUUCUCUGUGUAGCCCUGGCUGUCCUGGAACUUGCUCUGUACACCAAGCUUGCCUUGAACUCACAGAGAUCCGCCCGCCUCUGUCUCUGGAGUGCUGGGAUUAAAGGCUGAAGAAUUCUUAUUUUGAAGAUUAAAUGGUACUCAAGUGGCCUGGAGAGAUAGCUCAGUCAGUCGGAGCAUGGAGACCCAACGUCAAUCCUCAGUACGCACCUCAAAAGUAAAAGGCCAGCAGUGAAGCCCAGACAGGAGAACGGAUGACCUACUGGGACUCUUGAAGACGCCCAUUCUCAUUGACAUUUCUUUAUCAUGACUUCUUCCUGCUGGAUGCUUCUGCCAUUUCUGAUCAUAGCUCCAGUGAACUUUAGGGGAAUCACUUCUGUUCCAUAAUCCUGUGGGAUAAGUACUAAGACUCCACUAAUACCAUUCUGAAUGGCAUGGGCUGUGGCUCCAGGGCGCCCAGCAUCUUCCUUCUCCUGAUACCUGAUUGUGUUCAUCUUACUCUUCCUGCACUUCCUCAGUUGACGCAGUGCCCGAUGGUCAAGUUACAGUCUUAGCCAAUGCAUGUAAUGUGAUUAAAAAGCAUGUUCUGGGACGCACAUUUUUAUUUAAUCAUCUGCUUCCAAUUCUUGACAUGACUAAGAGAUAUUGUGAAACUGCAAAACCAGGGUGCUUUCUGCACCUAAGGACCCAGCCAGCAUGGUACCACUGUUGCUUAAAACAGUGACUGUGUAUGACUUGCACCAGCAUACAGAGAUUUGAUAGAACCCUAAUCUCCGAUUGUUAGAAGGAGUCUUGAACACACAAGACUCUUAGUCCCUUGCUCACAGCCAUGCUGUAUACUAUUUUUAAAAAAUACUCCUUUUAAAUGUAAAGGGUUAAUGAAUUAAAUUAGGAUAGAUUUUGUUAUCAGCAAUGUCAAUGAAUUUGAAUUAAACAGAACUUGAAUCUUG